UACGGGGGGUGCAAGCGUUAUCCGGAUUUACUGGGUUUAAAGGGUGUGUAGGCGGACUAUUAAGUCAGUGGUGAAAUCCCGAGGCUCAACCUCGGAACUGCCUUUGAUACUAUUAGUCUUGAAUGUUGUUGAGGUGGGCGGAACGGGUCAUGUAGCGGUGAAAUGCAUAGAUAUGACCCGGAACACCGAUUGCGAAGGCAGCCCGCUAAGCAACUAUUGACGCUGAGGCACGAAAGCGUGGGGAUCAAACAGG
rnacentral:rRNA from 1 species